rnacentral:lncRNA from 1 species
CGAAUAGGUUGCAACCCUAACUGUAACAUGAAAUCGCAUUGUGGCAUACCAAGGACGGUGAAGUCCUGGACCCAUUGAGCGGGCCCCUAGCGAUAUAACUGAAUUUACAACACAUAUGGCAAACACAUACUAUUAAAAUGGACAACAAUUAACCACGGCAUGUACUGAAAUAAAUCCCACACCUGUAACUUGAACUUUGAAAUUGACUGCGAGAAUUUAAAAUUCACGUUCCUAGUCGCGCCGCACCUAGUCAGAUAAAUUCAAAUAAUAAAACAUAAGGGCCUAAUUGAUCUUUAUUAGAAAAAUAAUCUAUACUUUAGAAAAUUAUUCAUCAAAGUCUUUUAAAAAAACUAAAUUAGAAAAUGAUAAUUAAAGAAAUAAUUGUGGGCUUAAAUAAAUUAUACUUGCUAUUAAAAGAUUAACUAAGUCAAAAGCCCAAUAGAUUAAAACAAAUAAGGCUCAAGCCCAUAUUCCCAACCCUCUUCACCUCUAAUUUAAACCUCCAACACACACUCCAACCCACACGCAGCUCACGCCCCCUCCUCACUCCCUCUCUCUCCCUCUCGGCCUCCUGCCUGCCGCCGCCACCGGACGGCCGCGCCGUCGCCGGAGGCCGGCGGCUCUGCCUCCUCUCUCCUUCCCUUCGACCUCUCUCCCUCUUCCCUCAUCUCUCUUCCUCCUCCCCUGCCCUUGUCCUCACUGCACCGGCCGCAGCCGUGGCCGCGCCAUUCUCCGCCAGCCGCCGUCUGUUCCUACCCAACACCGCCCUCACCUUUUCCCCCUUCAGCCGACAACGUGGCCACCCUCACCGCCCCGAGACAAAGAGCAGCGGUUGGUCAGGCCGCCUCCCUCCGUCCCAGAUUCGGCGCUGCUGCUGAACUUCUUCCUGUCUCCGGCUGCCGUGGCGCACCGUGCGUGGCGGCGCUGCUGCUCAACCGCCCUGGCGCGUCAGCGCCGACUGCACCGUUCCAGUCUCCCCCCCCACUUCCUCUAUCUAUUUCCUUUUCCAUGUAAAUAUAAAAUGUAUUCUAUUUGAUUAUAAUAAUUAUACAGAAAUAGAAAUUAUUGCAUAUGAAUAUGAAACUAAAAAAAAUACAAAAUUACCGAUGGAAAUUUUGCAGUGGAAAGAAAUAUAAAUCUGGUUUUUGUUGGAUUUGCUGGGUGAUUGCGAUGAAGAAGAUGAGAUAUACAUAUAUAUACUGAGUUGAAUUAUCGUGCUGCACAAGCUAAAAUAUGUGGUUGAGGAGUAAAAAUCGAAUUUGUGGCUGGAAGGGUGGAACCGUGGAAACAUAUUGCUGCUAAUUCAACAUUCUUUCAAAAAGAUCAUGGGUACUCUUAAACUUUAGCCCAUUAAGAAAAGGUAAACAAAUUAAGGCCCAAUUUAUGAAGUUUAUGCAAAAAUUCAUUCAGCCCAAUCUUAACAUAAAAUUUGUAUUGCUAAGUAAAAAUCUGUAAUCUAAAAUUAAUUAUCUAACUAGGGGCGCGACUAUACCAUUUACGAACUUGCUACAUAAAUAUAUUCUUUUCAUGAUAUAAAAAUAGUUAAAAUUUAAAUAAUGCAAUCAAACAAAAUAAUUAAAUAAUUAAAUGGGUUUCGGGCUGUCACAACCCUACCCACUAAAAGAAAAUUUCGUCCUCGAAAUUUAACUUACUUGGUUCUAAGUGGGGAUAGCGAGCUAGGAUUUCUUCUUCACGUUCCCAAGUUGCUUCAUCAGGUCCGUGCCUAGUCCACUGAAUUUUUACUAAGGGUAUUUCUUUACCUCGCAAAACCUUUACCUUCCGAUCCAGUAUGACACUCGGCUCCUCUUCGUACGUGAGGUCCUUAUUGAUUUGAAGUUCUUCAUGAUGAAUGAUGUGACUAGGAUCGUGCAGAUAUUUUCGCAGCAUGGAGACGUGAAACACGUUGUGUACAGCCGACAAUUCUGGCGUUAAAGCUAAACGAUAGGCUACGUCUCCUAUGCGCUCGAGGAUUUCAAAAGGUCCUAUAAAUCGAGGCCUCAACUUCCCUUUCUUGCCAAAUCGUAGGACUCCUUUCAUUGGUGCUACUUUGAGAAAAACUUUUUCGCCAACCUGAAAAUGUAAUUCCUUUCGCCUGCGAUCAGCAUAUGAUUUCUGUCGAUCCUGAGCCAUUUUAAUCUUCUCUUUUAUUUUCUCGAUGACCUCAACCGUUCUCUCAACGAUUUCCGGGCCCAACACUUUUCGUUCACCAACUUCGUCCCAAUAUAGUGGCGAUCUACACUUUCUCCCAUAUAACGCUUCGUAUGGAGCCAUGCCAAGGGUCGUUUGAAAACUGUUGUUAUACGCGAAUUCAAUCAAGGGCAGGUGAGUUUCCCAAUUGCCUCCAAUAUCCAUGACACUAGUUCGCAGCAUGUCUUCAAGAAUUUGAAUAGUUCUUUCAGAUUGUCCAUCUGUUUGAGGAUGAUAUGCUGUCGAAAAAUUGAGCUUAGUUCCCAUGGCUGCAUGUAAACUUUUCCAAAAUCUGGACGUGAAUCUUGGAUCUCGAUCAGAGACAAUGGAUACUGGCACUCCAUGUAGUCUCACCACCUCUUGCACAUACAAUCUCGCCAAUUGGUCCAUCGAAUAAGUCAUCUUUACAGGAAGAAAGUGUGCUGACUUAGUAAGUCGAUCCACGACUACCCAAAUUGCAUCGUGACUGCGUGUUGUCUUCGGAAGUCUCACUACAAAAUCCAUUGUAAUGUGUUCCCAUUUCCAUUCGGGUAUCUCCAAUGGAUUCAACAAUCCAGACGGUCGUUGGUGUUCGGCCUUCACUUGUUGGCACGUCAUACAUUUUCCAACAUAUUCAGCUAUCGAUCUCUUCAUGCCUCUCCACCAAAAUGUUUUUCGAAGAUCUUGAUACAUCUUGGUGCUUCCAGGAUGUGCCGUGUAGGUCGUGCAGUGUGCCUCAUCCAGAAUUUCCUUUAUCAACUGCUUGUCUUUAGGGACACAAAUUCUGCCUGCAUAUGUAAGCGUUCCAUCGUUUGCCAACGAGAAACCCGUAUUAUCAUUGCUAAGUCCCUUAUUCUUCAUCUUCUGGAGGAAGUCGUUGGUUUCUUGGAUUUUCUUAAUUCGAUCUCGUAAUGUAGGCCUAACAACUAGCGUUGCGAGCAUAGCUUCCUUGGCAUUCGGAGUUAUCACUUCGAGUUUCAACUUUUCAAAUUCUCUUAUCAAAGUCUCCUGUUGAGUCAUCAUCAAAGCUAGUUGUCCUUCACCUUUUCGGCUAAGUGCAUCUGCCACCACAUUAGCCUUUCCUGGGUGGUACUGUAUAGUACAGUCAUAAUCCUUCACGAGUUCUAGCCACCUUCUUUGUCUCAUGUUCAGCUCUUUCUGUGUGAAGAAAUAUUUCAAGCUUUUGUGAUCGGUGAAGAUCUCACAUUUUCCUCCAUAUAGGUAAUGUCUCCAAAUCUUUAGCGCAUGAACUACGGCAGCUAGCUCCAAAUCGUGUGUAGGGUAAUUAUGCUCGUGUGGCUUCAACUGUCUGGAUGCAUAGGCAAUAACUUUCCCUUUUUGCAUUAGAACACAUCCCAAACCUUGCUUCGAGGCGUCUGUAUAAAUGACAAAAUUAUCUGAUCCAUCAGGUAUGGUUAAUACUGGUGCUGUCGUCAACCUUCUUUUCAGCUCCUGAAAACUUUGCUCGCACUUAUCAGUCCACUGGAACACAACUCCUUUCCUUGUUAAUUGUGUCAUCGAACCCGCUAUCUUUGAGAAUCCCUCGAUGAAUCUUCUAUAAUAACCAGCGAGUCCAAGAAAACUCCUUACCUCACUUGCAUUUGUAGGUGCCUUCCAAUUACUUACAGCUUCAACCUUAGCUGGGUCCACCUCAAUUCCAUUUCCAGUCACCACGUGACCAAGAAAAACUACUCGGUCUAGCCAAAAUUCACAUUUCUUAAAUUUGGCGUAGAGUUUCUCACUCCUCAAUGUUUCCAAGACGAUCUUAAGAUGCUCUUCAUGUUGUGCAUUAUCCUUUGAGUAUAUCAAGAUGUCGUCGAUGAAAACUAUGACGAACUUGUCCAAAUAUGAGUGAAAAACACGAUUCAUCAGGUCCAUAAAUACCGCUGGAGCAUUGGUUAGACCGAAUGGCAUAACUACAAACUCAUAAUGACCGUAUCUUGUCCGAAAAGCUGUUUUCGGUACAUCGCUACCCUUUAUCUUGAGUUGGUGGUAGCCCGACCUCAGAUCAAUUUUUGAAAACACCUUUGCACCCUUCAAUUGGUCGAACAAAUCUUCUAUCCUUGGUAGAGGAUACUUGUUCUUGAUGGUAAGUCGAUUAAGCUCACGGUAGUCGAUACACAUACGCAUUGUUCCAUCUUUCUUCUUAACAAACAAGACAGGCGCUCCCCAAGGUGAUACACUUGGCCGUAUGAACCCUAUGUCCAAAAGCUCUUGUAGUUGUGUUUUCAAUUCCUCCAAUUCCUUUGGUGCCAUCCUAUAUGGUGCUUUUGAAACGGGUGCUGCUCCAGGCAUUAAAUCGAUCGCGAACUCCACUUGCCUAUCUGGUGGUAUUCCAGGUAAAUUCUCGGGAAAAACAUCGGAGUAAUCACGUACCACUGGCACACUUUCGAGAGUAAGUUCUCCAUCUUCUUUGCCUACAAUGCUUACGAGAUAAGCCUCGCCAAAGCCUUUGUUCAAAAUCUUUAUUGCUUUCAUCGCAGAUAUCACCAUAGGCAUUUUUCCUAACUUUGAUCCUUGAAAUGAAAAUUCUUUCUUUCCUGGUACGUUGAAAAAUUCCCUCUCGUGACACUUAAUUGUUGCAAAGUUUACGACUUAGCCAGUCCAUUCCUAAAAUCACAUCGAAGUCUGAUUCUAUGAGGUAAAAUCGGCUUCAAGCUUUCUAUUUCUAAAGUUCAAGGGAAUUCUCCGAGCAAUCCUAUUCGUCUUAAUGCAUUCUCCAGAAGGGACACUUAUGUUCAAGGUAAGUUUCUACUUCACAAGAUAUAUUCUUUUGACAAAACUUAGCAGAAGAAGAGUGCGAAGCUCCAGAAUCAAAUAGAACAACUGCUGGUGUUCCAGAUAUGAGUAACGUACCAGUCAUUGUGUCGUCUCUCGCUCUUCUGAUCGCUAAAGCGAAGAAUCGGCAUUUCCUUUCUUUUCUGGCUCCUUGAUUCCUAUUUUGUCUGGUCCCACAUUUUUCUUCCCUUCUGCGCAUUUAUCUUUUAGGACAAUUAUGUGUAGUGUGCCCCGGUUCGUGGCAAAAGAAACAAACUCUUUACCCCACAUGCACUCUCCAUGUGAUAUUUUCCACAUUUCUGGCAUUGUGGUCUUGUCCCCGUUGUUCCGAUUAAGCCUCCACCAAACUUCGGCCUCUUAUCUUGGAAGUUUCCUCCGCCUUGAUUAUAGUUCUCCCACUUCCUUUUAAUAGGUUGAUUCGCUGGCUUUUGUGCAGGGAUGUUUGACCCAAGAGCAGUUGCCACCUCUUCGGCUCGCUUAACCAAAUCGCUAAAAUCUUCAAUUACAUGUGCAGCCAUAAUUCCCUUGAUGUCAGUUCUCAGUCCCUUUCUGAACCUAGCUAUCAUUUUGUCUUCUGUGUCAACUAGGUGUGGUGCAAAACGAGCCAACUCAUUAAAUUUCCUCUCGUACUCCUCUAUAGUCAUAUUUCCUUGUUUCAACUCAAAGAACUCGGUUUCCUUCUUUUCUCUGAAUGACAGGGGAAAGUAUUUAUCCAUUACUACUCCCUUGAAGAUUUUCCAAUUGAGAACAUUGCGAUCCUCUUCUCCCAACAGACGAUAGAAAUGUUUCCACCAUUGUCGAGCGUCCUCUUUGAGUUGAAAAACAGCACAUGAAACUUUCUGUUCCUCGGUACAGUUGAUGUGAGUGAAAAUCCGUUCAAGCUCUUCCAACCACUCUUCAGCUGCUAGCGGUCCAUCACGUCCAUUGAAUCGUGGCGGAUUAUAAUUCCGAAAUCGCUCUACCGCUUGAUCCAUUGUGUUAGAGGUUGGUUUAAGUCUCGUUGCGUAGCCUGAGUUUGGGUUUGCUGCUGGACAAAACCCUGUAAGGCGCUCAGAAAUUGACUCAUGAAGUCUCCUCCAUUAGUUGGAUGAGGUUGUCCAGCUUCUGCUUCGGAAUUGUAUUUGAGUUCUCGGCGUGGUGGGAAUGUGCACGCGUAUUCCUCAUGGUUCUAUAUUCAGAGGCACUAUCACAUAAAUAAGGGAUUAUAAAACAAGACUUUUCUAGGAAAAUGCUAGGUUAUUCCUAAUUCGAGGACUAUUCAAAUGAAAAAUUUAGAACUCAUCAAAUCUCAAUGUCAUGAACUUAAAAUUCCGAAAUAAAAUUCAUAGCGCAAUAAUCUUCAACAUAAUAACUUGGUACUGAACUUUCUCUAAUAACUUGCAUAAUGACUUGAACUUUCUGAAAAACUUCAAUAUUGCAGCAAUUCAACUAAUCGGAAUAUAAACAGUUUAUACUCAUCCCCUUGAAAACUUUUAAAAAAAAUAACUUUUACCUCGACGUCGGAGCGCGUAGUGGUCGAAUGGCCUUGUCACACUUGACUUGAAAACAUUUUAAGAAAAAUUUUAUUUUGCAGAGUCUACAGGAAAGUAGACCUGCUCUGAUACCAUACUGUAACACCCUAAUCUAAUUAAAGUGUUAAAUAUAAUUUAAAUAUUUUUGACAGCGGAAAUAACAUAAGAUUUAUUAUAGAAAUUCAAAGAAAUAAUUUAAAUAAAAUAUUGAAAUAACUUAAAAGAAGGCCAGCCAUGUAGGAAAAGCUAAUAUGAUAACAUUAAACUGAUAAGUUAACAAAACUCAAAGUAGUUUAGACUUGAAACGUACAAACAAAAGGUAGUGUAACUACCAUAUAUUUUCAAAAUAUAUAUUACUGACGCGCCCAUUCGAUCCUCACGCGUCUCCAACCUUAGUUACCUGAAAAUGUUAAAUAUGGGAUGAGCAUAUGAAAUAUACUCAGUGUGGGAAACAUGCAAUAAUUGUCCACGUUAAUAAAAUGGUCAACACAUACGCACUGCACUGUACUGAUAACUGAAAUUCGCACGGUGGCAUACCAAGGACUUUAAUGUCCUGGACCCAUUGAGCGGGCCCCUGGCGAAUAGGUUGCAACCCUAACUGUAACAUGAAAUCGCAUUGUGGCAUACCAAGGACGGUGAAGUCCUGGACCCAUUGAGCGGGCCCCUAGCGAUAUAACUGAAUUUACAACACAUAUGGCAAACACAUAAUAUUAAAAUGGACAAAGAUUAACCACAGCAUGUACUGAAAUAAAUCCCACACCUGAACUUAACUUUGAAAUUACUGGAGAAAUUAAAAUUCACGUCCUAGUCGCGCCGCACCUAGUCAGAUAAAUUCGAAAAAAACAAAACAUAAGGCCUAAUUGAACUUUAAAAAUAAUAAUAUAUAGUUAACUUAAGAAUUUAUUAUCAUAAAAUCAUUUGAAAAUAGUUGGUCUAAUGAAUCAAAUAAUAAAAUGUAUGCUUCUUUAAAACUUUGAGUUGGGAUUUAAUAAAAAAAAUAAUCAGGCCCAACUUAAUAAUGCAAUUUAAAAUAUGAAGUCCAGCCCAUUUAAAAUAAGAGCCCAACAAUUAAAUUAAAACCUUCCUAGGCCCAAGCCCAUACUUCCUUCUCUCCCUUAAAUCCCUAAUUUAACUCACUUCCACCACACAACACAAAUACGUAGCCCCCAUUUCCCCUUCUCCCUCUCUCUCUCUCUCGGUCACCUGCCGCCGCGCCACCGGACGGCAGCGCCGUCGGCGGAGACCGGCAGCUCCGCCUUCUCUCCCUCUUGCCCUCUUAUCUCUCCUCACCAUCCUCUCUGUCCUUUCCUCACUGUGCCCCAGUCGCAGCCGCAGCUCCCCUUCCCUUUUCUCCGGCGAUCCACGUCGCCUGCCACCACCUUUUCUUGCCCGGCAGAAGCACCGCCGUCGCCGUCCCACGACAGACAGUAGCAGCCGCCCAGCCACCUCCUCCCCCUAUCUCGACUGGAACAGCGGGGCAGCCGCCGAAGCCAUAGCGCCGCCGCCGUCCCUGCUUCUCUACACCGCCGCCUCGGCACAUGCAGCGGCGGCCGUUGCUCCGACGAGCAACCCCUUACCCCAUGUCAUUUUAAUUCCCUCCAUUAUUCUAGGUUUCUAAAUCUAAGUUUCUUUAUUGUAAAAACAGUGAAAUAUGCAUUCUAUUUCAAUUUCUUAUGAAAUACAAACACUAAAUUUAUUGAUGUAUGUAUGCAAGUUUGGAUUUGGAAACUCUUGGUUUUGGGCAGAAAUUAGAGAAACUAUUGAGAUGCUGAAAUAAAAUUACAUAAGCUCUGUACAAGAAUUAAAAUUACCACUUGAAUCGAAAGCAGCAGAAACAAGAAGUUGAUUGCUGGGUUUUUGAGUUAUUUUCAGAAAAUGAAAGAAUUUAACAUUGGAAAAAUUGAGGCGGUGGAAAACAGAGGUGAUAAAGGCUGAUGUUUUAAAUAAGAAGGCUUGAAAUGGUGCUUGCAGCUCAAGAAAGUUUGAGAUGAAACGUGGCUGUAGCAUAAAUCAGAUCACGUGGCUGAUGGAAAUAAGCUUAGAAUUUGUGGUUAAAAUUUAAUACAUAUCUUGGCUAAGGAAGAAAAACACGUAUUGCCUUGAUUUUAUAAAAUGUUAUGGGCUUAAAUUUCAGCCCAAGGAAAAAUAUAUAAAUAAAAUACACAUAAGGCCCAAUAUAGAAGAUUUGCAAAUGUUUAUUUUAUUGGCCCAAAUAUGACUUAAUAUUCUUGAGCAUAAAAUUUUAUUGCUAAAGUCGUAAUAUGUAAUCUAAAUUUAUUUAUCUAACUAGGG